rnacentral:rRNA from 1 species
UACGAAGGGGGCUAGCGUUGUUCGGAAUUACUGGGCGUAAAGCGCGCGCAGGCGGUUCUUCAAGUCAGAGGUGAAAGCCCAGAGCUCAACUCUGGAAUGGCCUUUGAGACUAGAGAACUAGGGUACGGGAGAGGUGAGUGGAAUUCCGAGUGUAGGGGUGAAAUUCGUAGAUAUUCGGAAGAACACCAGUGGCGAAGGCGGCUCACUGGCCCGUUACCGACGCUCAGGCGCGACAGCGUGGGGAGCAAACAGG